CCUACGGGUGGCAGCAGUGAGGAAUAUUGGUCAAUGGACGAGAGUCUGAACCAGCCAAGUCGCGUGAAGGAUGACUGCCCUAUGGGUUGUAAACUUUUUUUAUAAAGGAAUAAAAAGAGGCACUUGUGCAUUUUUGCAUGUACUUUAUGUAUAAGGAUCGGCUAACUCCGUGCCAGCAGCCGCGGUAAUACGGAGGAUCCGAGCGUUAUCCGGAUUUAUUGGGUUUAAAGGGAGCGUAGAUGGGUUGUUAAGUCAGUUGUGAAAGUUUGCGGCUCAACCGUAAAAUUGCAAUUGAUACUGGCAGUCUUGAGUGCAGGAGAGGUAGGCGGAAUUCGUGGUGUAGCGGUGAAAUGCGUAGAUAUCCCGAGGAACCCCAGUGGCGAAGGCAGCUUACUAAACAGUAACUGACAUUGAUGCGCGAAAGCGUGGGUAUCAAACAGGAUUAGAUACCCCAGUAGUC
rnacentral:rRNA from 1 species